GUGUCAGCCGCCGCGGUAAGACAUAGGUGGCGAACGUUAUCCGGAAUUAUUGGGCGUAAAGGGUGCGUAGAUGGUAUGGUAAGUUAUCAGUGGGAAAUCGAGGCCCAACCUCGUGGAAGCUGGUAAUACUGCCACACUAGAGUACAGAAGAGGUUAACGGAAUUCCAUGUGGAGCGGUAAAAUGCGACGAUAUAUGGAGGAACAUCAAUAACGGCGAAGGCAGUUAACUAUUCUGUUACUGACAUUGAGGCACGAAAGCGUGGGGAGCAAAACGGAUUAGAAACCCCAGUAGUCC
rnacentral:rRNA from 1 species